rnacentral:tRNA from 1 species
GUCAGUGGUGCAGUGGUAAACACGGUUGCCUCAGAAACAACGUGGCCGUGGUUCUAGUCCCGGCAGUGACG